ACGCUUCGAACCCAGCGAGAGGCGCCGCGGAAUUUGAAUUUUGAUUUCCUCUGCAGUUUCCAUCAAGAUCUCUCUCCUUUCCUCUGCAAAUUUGUGGAAAAGGGAUUCUGCACAAGAGGCGAGCCGAAAGGAGCGAUCUUUGGGAUGGCGAAGUUCGGCCAUCUCUUUCGGAUGUAGUGGCUUCAGACCCCUUUCCCGCCGCGUUCCAUCGUUCCAGAUCCAAUCUCCGAUUUCCCAUUGGCAUUACACAUUUGAGAAGGGUCUCCAGAGGCGGCGGAUUUCCUGAUUCCUUUAGCCCCUUCGGACUCGGCCGCCUCAGCGGAUGGGCGUUGUGUGGGAGCGCACCGGCGAGGAUGGCGUCCGUGAAGGAGGGAGCCGAGCGACGAGGGGACGGGAAAGGCGGAGGCUUUUGAUCCCAGGAUGCCGCCUCCGUUCGGGCUGUCGGAGAUCCGAGCCGCCAUUCCGAAGCACUGCUGGGCGAAGGACUCCUGGGCUCGCGUGGCUCGAUAAGUGGUUCGCCGUGGCGGCGACGGAUUAUUCACAGGAAGGAUCAUACUUACUAUUUUCUAACCCUCUUUGGUUAAAUCUUAACGCACAUUGCUAUGGCAGUUUGCAAGAAGUCCAGGGAAGAGUGGCACACACUUUCAUCCAAGCAGAGAUCUCUUCCUUCCUAGUGAAAAGAAGGAUGUUAUCACGUCAACUGUUUGCUGGAUUGCCAUGGUCGGAUUGCUCGCAGGGUUGACUUGCUUCGCGGCCCCAUUCAAAUGUUAAAGCUUUAUGGAAUCCCGUAUUUGAUCUUGUCACAUAUUUGCAUCACUGCGGACACAAGAGAAGCUUUCUUGGUACCGUUCAAAGAUUAUGGAUGGAUUAACAACAUCCACCAUGAUAACUCAUGUCAUACAUCUCCUCUUCCCCCAGAUACGACAUUACCAUUUAGUGGAAGCUACUGAGGCAGCUCAACCAGUGCUUGGAAAAUACUAUAGGGAACCUGAACAAUCUGGCCCUUUGCCACUCCAUCUGUUUGGAGCCUUAUCAAGGAGUCUGAAUCAUAUGAUCACUUUGUACCUGAUACUGGAGACAUCGUGUAUUAUUAAACAGAUGAUCAAUCAUGCAGUUCUUCAGAAAUGGAGUCAUGAUUUGGCCGGUGAGAAACUUUCGUAGGGCUCAACGGGUCAUCCUUAGGAUUAGUUGGUUCAAAGAGUUAGAUAUAUGGUGCAAAUUAAAAAAUAAAGUUUUCGUGUUUGACAUAUAUAUGGUAUGAACUACAUGCGCAUCAGAGGACUGAUUUAUCACUGCGCAAUGCUACAAGCUCUAUAUCACACGAGCCAGAUUAUCUGUUCAUGGUUCUUCUCUCUUUAGUCCACCUUUACUUUUUUUUUCCCCUCUAGUUCAUGUAAAAGAUUGCUGUCUUAAUUGACUAUUACCCAUAAUGUAUACAGAAGAAUGUAUCAAAAAUAGUUAUAUGCAUGAAUAAUGAAGAAGCAAAGAUAUUUUCCCUCAUUCUUUUUGUGUUUAGUGAUUAGUGACUCGAUCACUUGUCCCUCAUUCCUUUUGUUUGUUCAUAAUACAUCAUACUUCAGCUGAGACAAAUCGGAUACGAAAAGUGUAAACAAAGUCAGGACAGAUUAUUCUAGUCAAACAACUUCAUCAACUAAAAUAUAGCUUCUUUAGGAUUACAUUUAAUGGCGUUUACUUGUGUUCAUACGCCUACUCUCCAUUGGGAUCAAACAUGUUGAUUUACACAAGCUAUGGGAAAGCAGUGACGGCCAUAGAACUGAUGGCUCUAACAAUUCUUCUAAAGAAGUGAGAAACAGAAGCAUGAAGAAAAUAAUAUCAUACAAAGAGACCAACUUAUUU